rnacentral:sRNA from 1 species
CAGCAGCACAAGAAGAGAAUAUCCUUCUGUUGGUAGCAGGUUCAUUCACAAUGGAAAAUAUGAAUCAAUUCAAAUCCAUCGGUGAACCUAUUGCACCUCAAUUCACUGGAGCAGAGGUAACUUCAAUGUUAGCUGCUCCUAGUUCGGCAGAAAACCAGGUCGCCUUAAUGCCAAGAGGAGGAAUUUCCCAGAUUCAGGAGCAAAAUUUUUCCAGAGGUUAUGAUCUGU